AUUGAACGCUGGCGGCAGGCUUAACACAUGCAAGUCGAGCGGGGUGAUGGUGCUUGCACUAUCACUUAGCGGCGGACGGGUGAGUAAUGCUUAGGAAUCUGCCUAUUAGUGGGGGACAACAUCUCGAAAGGGAUGCUAAUACCGCAUACGUCCUACGGGAGAAAGCAGGGGAUCACUUGUGACCUUGCGCUAAUAGAUGAGCCUAAGUCGGAUUAGCUAGUUGGUGGGGUAAAGGCCUACCAAGGCGACGAUCUGUAGCGGGUCUGAGAGGAUGAUCCGCCACACUGGGACUGAGACAAGGCCCAGACUCCUACGGGAGGCAGCAGUGGGGAAUAUUGGACAAUGGGGGGAACCCUGAUCCAGCCAUGCCGCGUGUGUGAAGAAGGCCUUAUGGUUGUAAAGCACUUUAAGCGAGGAGGAGGCUCUUUUGGUUAAUACCCAAGAUGAGUGGACGUUACUCGCGGAAUAAGCACCGGCUAACUCUGUGCCAGCAGCCGCCGUAA
rnacentral:rRNA from 1 species